UACGUAGGCAGCGAGCGUUGUUCGGAAUUACUGGGCGUAAAGAGUGUGUAGGCGGUGUUCCCAGUCUGUUGUGAAAUCUCCCGGCUUAACUGGGAGGGUGCAGCGGAAACUAGAAUGCUAGAGGGUGGGAGAGGUAAGCGGAAUUCCUGGUGUAGCGGUGAAAUGCGUAGAUAUCUGGAGGAAUACCGGUGGCGAAGGCGGCAUCCUGGACCGGCAUUGACGCUGAGGAGCGAAAGCGUGGGGAGCAAACAGG
rnacentral:rRNA from 1 species